AGGACGAACGCUGGCGGCGUGCCUAAAACAUGCAAGUCGAACGAGGUCCAUCCAGUGGCAACACUGGUGAAGCCUAGUGGCGAACGGGUGAGUAACACGUGAGGAACCUGCCCCGAAGACCGGGAUAACCCUCCGAAAGGAGAGCUAAUACCGGAU
rnacentral:rRNA from 1 species